UGCAGAUCCAAUUUUCUGCCACCGAAUACAUUAGCAUGGGAUAAUGGAAUAGGACCCUGUCCUCCUAUUUUCAGUUGGUUUUGGCAGCGCGAGGACUAGGGUAAUGAUUAAUAGGGAUAGUUGGGGGCAUUAAUAUUUAAUUGUCAGAGGUGAAAUUCUUGGAUUUAUGAAAGAUUAACUUCUGCGAAAGCAUCUGCCAAGGAUGUUUUCAUUAAUCAAGAACGAAAGUUAGGGGAUCGAAGACGAUCAGAUACCGUCGUAGUCUUAACCAUAAACGAUGCCGACCAGCGAUUAGGAGACGUUGAAUACAAAACACCACCAUCGGCGCGGUCGUCCUUGGCGUCUGUCCCUUUCAACGGGGGCAGGCGCGAGGGCGGUUUAGCCCGGUGGCACCGGUGAAUGACUCCCCUAGCASCUUGUGAGAA
rnacentral:rRNA from 1 species